rnacentral:rRNA from 1 species
GACCAGACUCCUACGGGAGGCAGCAGUGAGGAAUAUUGGUCAAUGGACGAGAGUCUGAACCAGCCAAGUAGCGUGAAGGAUGACUGCCCUAUGGGUUGUAAACUUCUUUUAUAAAGGAAUAAAACGAGGCACGUGUGCCUUUUUGCAUGUACUUUAUGAAUAAGGAUCGGCUAACUCCGUGCCAGCAGCCGCGGUAAUACGGAGGAUCCGAGCGUUAUCCGGAUUUAUUGGGUUUAAAGGGUGCGUAGGCGGAAUGCCAAGUCAGGGGUAAAAUCGCGGGGCUCAACCUCGCUCCGCCGUUGAAACUGGCGUUCUUGAGUGGGCGAGAAGUAUGCGGAAUGCGUGGUGUAGCGGUGAAAUGCAUAGAUAUCACGCAGAACUCCGAUUGCGAAGGCAGCCUACUAAACUGCCACUGACAUUGAUGCUCGAAAGUGUGGGUAUCAAACAGGAUUAGAUACCCCGGUAC